rnacentral:rRNA from 1 species
UCAAGCGACUAAGUGCAUGUGGUGGAUGCCUUGGCGAUCACAGGCGAUGAAGGACGCGGCAGUCUGCGAAAAGCCCCGGGGAGCUGACAACGAGCUUUGAUCCGGGGAUCUCCGAAUGAGGGAACUCCAAGCUUUAGCUUGAUCCAUGCGUGAAUACAUAGCGCAUGGAGGCGAACGCGGCGAACUGAAACAUCUCAGUAGCUGCAGGAAAAGAAAUCAACCGAGAUUCCGGAAGUAGCGGCGAGCGAAACCGGAACAGCCUGAAUUCGAUAUUGAGAAGAACACUGGAAGAGUCUGGAAAGGCUCGCCAUAGUGGGUGAUAGCCCCGUACGGGACGUUCAUCUCAAGGUACUGAGGAUUCGAAAAGUAGGUCGGGGCACGUGAAACCCUGGCUGAACAUGGGGGGACCAUCCUCCAAGGCUAAAUACUCGUGAUCGACCGAUAGCGUACUAGUACUGUGAAGGAAAGGUUAAAAGAACCCCGGGAGGGGAGUGAAAUAGAUUCUGAAACCGCAUGCAUACAAACAGUAGGAGCCCUUCGGGGUGACUGCGUACCUUUUGCAUAAUGGGUCAGCGACUUAUGUUAUGUGGCAAGCCUAACCGACUAGGGGAGGCGCAGCGAAAGCGAGUCCGAACAGGGCGAUUCAGUCGCAUGGCAUAGACCCGAAACCAGAUGAGCUAACCAUGGCCAGGCUGAAGGUGUGGUAACACACACUGGAGGGCCGAACCUACUGGUGUUGCAAAACCAGAGGAUGAGCUGUGGUUAGGGGUGAAAGGCUUAACAAAUCUGGAGAUAGCUGGUUCUCCCCGAAAACUAUUGAGGUAGUGCCUUGCGCAUGAGCUUCUGGGGGUAGAGCACUGUUAUAGCUAGGGGGACAUGGCGUCUUACCAAACUAUGGCAAACUCCGAAUACCAGAAAGCUUCGCGCAGGAGACAGAGCACCGGGUGCUAACGUCCGGACUCAAAAGGGAAUCAACCCAGACCGCCAGCUAAGGUCCCUAAUAUCAGCUAAGUGGAAAACGAAGUGGAAAGGCUAAAACAGUCAGGAAGUUGGCUUAGAAGCAGCCAUCCUUCAAAGAAAGCGUAAUAGCUCACUGAUCGAGUCCUUCCGCGCGGAAGAUGUAACGGGGCUAAGUUGAUAACCGAAGCUGCGGAUUCACACUUUGAGUGUGAGUGGUAGGGGAGCGUUCUGUAAGCCUGUGAAGGUGGAUCGUAAGGUCUGCUGGAGGUAUCAGAAGUGCGAAUGCUGACAUGAGUAACGAUAAAGCGGGUGAAAAGCCCGCUCGCCGCAAACCCAAGGUUUCCUGCUCUACGUUAAUCGGAGCAGGGUGAGUCGGUUCCUAAGGCCAGGCUGAGAAGCGUAGCUGAUGGAAAUCAGGUUAAUAUUCCUGAACCGGCGUUGAAUGCGAUGGGGUGACGGAGCAGCCAGAGUGGACCGGGUGUUGGAUGUCCCGGCUUCCGAGCGAUGGGUGCCUGCAGGCAAAUCCGCAGGCGUAUACCCAGGACGAAGGAUCGGGCCUUCUUUUGAAGGCGAAGCCACUGGAAGCGCUUCCAGGAAAAACCUCUAAGCUUCAGUUCAACGGCGACCGUACCGUAAACCGACACAGGUGGGUGAGCUGAAUAUGCUCAGGCGCUUGAGAGAACUCGGGAGAAGGAACUCGGCAAAUUGACACCGUAACUUCGGAAGAAGGUGUGCCUUUGUAGCUUGACGGGAGAGAAACCCGGAGGGCGAAGAGGUCUCAGAGAAUCGGUGGCUGUAACUGUUUACUAAAAACACAGCGCUCUGCAAAGAUGAAAGUCGACGUAUAGGGCGUGAUGCCUGCCCGGUGCUGGAAGAUUAAUUGAUGGGGUGCAAGCUCCUGAUCGAAGUCCCAGUAAACGGCGGCCGUAACUAUAACGGUCCUAAGGUAGCGAAAUUCCUUGUC